rnacentral:rRNA from 1 species
AUACGGAGGGUGCAAGCGUUAAUCGGAAUUACUGGGCGUAAAGAGUACGUAGGUGGUUUGUUAAGUCAGAUGUGAAAGCCCCGGGCUCAACCUGGGAACUGCAUUUGAAAUUGGCAAACUAGAGUAUGGUAGAGGGGGGUAGAAUUUCUAGUGUAGCGGUGAAAUGCGUAGAUAUUAGAAGGAAUACCAGUGGCGAAGGCGGCCCCCUGGACCAAUACUGACACUGAGGUACGAAAGCGUGGGUAGCGAACAGGAUUAGAAACCCUAGUAGUCC